AUCACUUCUAGGCCUUUUGGCUAAGGUUAAGUGUAGUAUCUGUUCUUAUCAGUUAAUAUCUGAUGUGUCCUCUAUCUGAGGACAAUAUAUUAAAUGAAUUUUUGGAGUUUGGAGUUGGAAUAGGAGCUUGAUCUGUCCACUCCACUCAUCAACCUGGUAUUGCAGUACCUCUAGGAAUGGUGCACCCCCU
ensembl:snRNA U2 U2 spliceosomal RNA